GAUGAACGCUAGCUACAGGCUUAACACAUGCAAGUCGAGGGGUAACGAGAGGAAAGCUUGCUUUCCUUGUUGACGACCGGCGCACGGGUGAGUAACGCGUAUCCAACCUGCCCCCAACUAGGGAAUAACCUUGCGAAAGUAAGACUAAUACCCUAUAAUUUCCUCAGAUGUCAUCUGACGAGGAAUAAAGAUUUAUCGGUUGUGGAUGGGGAUGCGUCUGAUUUGCUUGUUGGCGGGGUAACGGCCCACCAAGGCAACGAUCAGUAGGGGUUUUGAGAGGAAGGUCCCCAGCAUUGGAACGGAGACACGGUCCAAACUCCUACGGGAGGCAGCAGUGAGGAAUAUUGGUCAAUGGGCGGAAGCCUGAACCAGCCAAGUAGCGUGCAGGAUGACGGCCCUAUGGGUUGUAAACUGCUUUUAUACAGGAAUAAAGUUAGCCACGUGUGGUUAUUUGUAGGUACUGUAUGAAUAAGGACCGGCUAAUUCCGUGCCAGCCGCCGCCGUAA
rnacentral:rRNA from 1 species